AUUGAACGCUGGCGGCAUGCCUUACACAUGCAAGUCGAACGGUAACAGGUCUUCGGAUGCUGACGAGUGGCGAACGGGUGAGUAAUACAUCGGAACGUGCCUAGUAGUGGGGGAUAACUACUCGAAAGAGUGGCUAAUACCGCAUGAGAUCUACGGAUGAAAGCAGGGGAUCGCAAGACCUUGUGCUACUAGAGCGGCCGAUGGCAGAUUAGGUAGGUGGUGGGAUAAAAGCUUACCAAGCCGACGAUCUGUAGCUGGUCUGAGAGGACGAUCAGCCACACGGGGACUGAGACACGGCCCAGACUCCUACGGGAGGCAGCAGUGGGGAAUUUUGGACAAUGGGCGCAAGCCUGAUCCAGCAAUGCCGCGUGCAGGAUGAAGGCCUUCGGGUUGUAAACUGCUUUUGUACGGAACGAAAAGCCCUGGGUUAAUACCCUGGGGUCAUGACGGUACCGUAAGAAUAAGCACCGGCUAACUACGUGCCAGCAGCCGCCGUAACAC
rnacentral:rRNA from 1 species